rnacentral:rRNA from 1 species
UACGUAGGGGGCUAGCGUUGUCCGGAAUCAUUGGGCGUAAAGCGCGUGUAGGCGGUUCGGUAAGUCCGCUGUGAAAGUCGGGGCUCAACCCUCGAAUGCCGGUGGAUACUGUCGGGCUAGAGUGCGGAAGAGGCGAGUGGAAUUCCUGGUGUAGCGGUGAAAUGCGCAGAUAUCAGGAGGAACACCAAUUGCGAAGGCAGCUCGCUGGGACGCUACUGACGCUGAGACGCGAAAGCGUGGGGAGCAAACAGG